rnacentral:tRNA from 1 species
GGGCGAGUGGUGGAAUGGUAUACACGGCGGACUUAAAAUCCGUGCCUUAUGGCGUGAGGGUUCGAGUCCCUCCUCGCCCACCA